CAUUUCACUCAGGGGGGUUGUAUCAGGGCGUCCGGUUGCCUCUGCUUCUAUGGGUUUGGUGACUUUCUACCUGCACACUCUGCAGAAACAACAUGUCAUCUGUUCGCCCCCACACACCGGCCUCCUGCUGUAAUUACAGAAACGUGCUGCCUGCACACUGAGAGCUCGAUGACUGAGAGGUAACACGACCUUCCCUCUCCUCCUCCCCCUCUCCCUCCUCUACAUGCGACAACACUUCAUUCAUUCAUGCAGGAGGUCAGACUGGUUUAUCCCGCAGACACAGACUAUCAUGUUAAUCUGUUUUGGCAUUAUUUCAGAUUCUUAAGCUCCUCUUUUAGAGUUUCUCUAAAUUUUUCCUCCCCUAUAAACUCUUCAAUUUAAAAUGGCAAAAAAUACCAGCACAAGUUUUAAAAUUGACAGCAUCAGCACUUAACAGAGGCAAUAAAUUUAAUUUAAUUCAAUGUGCAAAUACAUAAGGUCCUAUAUGGUGCUACAAGAUGCAUGCAUGUGUGAGUCAUGCAUUAGGUAGGAUAAUAGAUGCAUAAUAGAUCAAUAGGUGAGUAAAAAGAAGAAACCAUGGCAAAAGCGAGGAAAAUAAGACUGCUGUAAAAAUGCUCCUGCUACCUUUGACUGUAUACAGGAUGAAAAAGGACAGAUGAGUGAAAACAUGUCCGUGCGGGAGACUAUAAGGACAGGAAGGAAGUAGAGAGUGUGUCCUGUGCUUUAGAUAAGAGUAAUGGAGCAGAGAUUUUAUCACACACUCUCAGGAAACCCUGUUGCUACUGAACACAUGAAGAGGAACAUCUUCAUCCAAGUAAAAAAACAAACUCUAACUUCCUUAGAGCCUGCAGGAAAAUCACCCCCUCCUCACACAAAACAGCUACAUACCAGCCCCUCUGCAGCCAAACACACCUGUCUUUAUCAGACGCAUUCUCAUUUAACUAAAAUGCUGUUUGGAAAGACACUGGGUCAUGCAUUAUAAGAUAAAAAGAGUUAAAACUAAGAAGCAUCCUCCAGGGCAAGGUUCAAAAAGUCACACUUUUCCCUAAAAUCUAUUAAUUGAGGACUGAAAGGGUUAGAAACAGGUUUUUCAUGCCUAUGCAUGCACACUUCAGUCAUCCUCCAGCCUG